CCCUUAGAUGUUCUGGGCGGCCCGCGCACUACAAUGGCGUGUGCAGCGAGUGCCGAAGUAGAGUUUUCCGAGGUAUUCUUGCAAUGCUCGUUUUGAUGGGGAUAGACCCUUGCAACUGUUGGUUUUGAACGAGGAAUUCCUAGUAAGCACAAGUCAUCAGCUUGUGUUGAUUACGUCCCUGCCCUUUGUACACACCGCCCGUCGCUCCUACCGAUUGAAUGUUCCGGUGAGCUCUUCGGACUGCGCGGUCUGCAGUUUCUGCGUUCCGUGCGGAAAGUUGCGCAAACCUUAACAUUUAGAGGAAGGAGAAGUCGUAACA
rnacentral:rRNA from 1 species